rnacentral:rRNA from 1 species
CCUACGGGAGGCAGCAGUGGGGAAUAUUGCUCAAUGGGCGAAACCCUGAAGCAGCAACGUCGCGUGGGGGAUGAAGGUCUUAGGAUUGGAAACCCCUUUUGUCAGAGAAGAAAAUGACGGUAUCUCACGAAUAAGCACCGGCCAACGCGGAGACGGCAGCCGCGGUAAUGCGGAGGGUGCCAGGGUGAAUCGGAAUCACUGGGCGGAAAGGGUGCGCAGGGGGGCUUGUAAGUUAGAUGUGAAAUCCUCUGGCCUAACUACAGAACUGCAGUUGAAACUAGGAGUCUUGAGUGUGGGAGAGGUAGGUGGAAUGCGUGGUGUAGGGGUGAAAUCCGUAGAUAUCACGAGGAAUACCCAUUGCGAAGGCGACCUACUGGAUCAUUACUGACGCUCAUGCACGAAAGCGUGGGUAGCAAACAGGAUUAGAUACCCUUGUAGUC